AAAGAAGCGAAAUCCUGAAGGGAUGAUUCCUGUUUCCCAAGUACAUAGCUAUGAAAAGUAUGGUGUCACUCAAGGUCACAAGCUCAAAUUGGUCGGAGUCCGCAAAGAGACGGGAGUCAUUACCUCGUUUGGUUGCUUAGCAGGGUUGAGCCAGCAAAUUAGCCACUUCCACGGAAGUUCUGCUGUACUGGCGUCCUACCCUAGUUAGCAUCUCAUCUCGCUUCUUGAUCACCAGCCUCAGAGAGAAAUGCCUGCCAGGACCUCGUGACCAUGAAUGUGCUGCCUUUGAAACAAAUCAAAACAACCAAACCAUUCCAAUGACGAUAAUAAUAACAACCCACCUGCAACAGUAACUGAAGAGGCAAGAAUGCAUCCUAGGCCUUGAAAGAGUCUUUCUUGGGCCCUAUCUCCUAGUAAGGAAGCCCAGGCAGAUCAUAAAAAGUCACAUGGAGAAGAAUCAGGGGCCCUUCCCCUGACUGAGCUCUUAGUCGGCAGCUAAUUGCACUUCUCUGGCCGUAUGAGUGACUCAUCGUGAAGCAGGUCUUGGUGCUCCAGUGCAGCUGCCGAAGAUGGUCUCUCGGGAACAGUUACGGAUCUCCCACGUACCAGAUCCCUGUUCAAACUUCCCAACUCGUGUGAGGUGGCACAUUUGCAGACCCAGUAGUGAGGAAGCUGAGGCAGGAGAAGAAAGAAUUCAAGGCCAACCUAACCGACAGUGAGAGCUCCAGACCACCCAGGGAGAUGUAGUGGGAGCACCUGUCUCAAACAAAUACAAAGUAACAAACAACAACAACAAAAAUCUUUCUUGUUUUAAGGUGUUUGUUAUUUUGUUACAGUGACUAAUGCCUAAACACAAUCUUCCCUCCUGCAACCUCUCUCUGCAUCCUUUUUUUUUUUUUUA
rnacentral:lncRNA from 1 species